GAUGAACGCUGGCGGCGUGCCUAAUACAUGCAAGUCGAGCGAACAGACGAGGAGCUUGCGCCCAUGACGUUAGCGGCGGACGGGAGCGUAACACGUGGUUAACCUACCUAUAAGACAGGGAUAACUUCGGGAAACCGGAGCUAAUACCGGAUGAUAUAUCGAACCGCAUGGUUCAAUAGUGAAAGACGCUUUUGCGGUCACUUAUAGAUGGAUCCGCGCAUCAUUAGCAAGUUGGUAAGGUAACGGCUUACCAAGGCAACGAUGCGUAGCCGCCCUGAGGGGGUCGUCGGCCACACGGUCACUGAGACUCGUCCGCGACACCUGCAGGAGGCCGCAGUACGGAAUCCUCCGCGAUGGGCGAGUGGGUGAUGUUGCAACACCGCGGGAAGGCUGAUGGUCUUAGGAUGGUAGAGCUCUGUUGUUAGGAAAGUUCAAAAGUGUUUGUAACUGUGCACGUCAUGACGGUACCGAAUCAAAAAGCUCCGGCUAACUCCGUG
rnacentral:rRNA from 1 species